UUUUUCCUGCGGAUCCUGAAAUUUGUAACAAUUUUUAUCGGCGGACAAUAUGUCUUUUAGCACUUUCAGAAGCAGUAGGUUCCAACACUACCCAACGUCUGCAAUAGUAAUGGCAGGGAUGUUAAUGAAAGUUUCUGAAACAAAACCAGUUAAGCAGGUGCCAGAAAUCAUGAUUGGUGGUGGUGGUGAUUGGGCACCUAUUUAGGCUUACAGCUGCCUUUUUUUUGUUUUUUUUUUUUUAUCCGCCAAGGAUUUAUGCAUCUAUUAUGGAGACGGAGAAGAAUACGUAAGAUGCAAUCUUCUGCAUUGCUCUGCAUUCCUGAUCAAUAAGCAGUUACAAACAUUGCUCUACACUGAUAAGCAUCAGAGACAAAGGUCAGGCUGAAUUAGGUAUUUUGAAAAUCCAACUGAAAUUGUGUUGUGGCAGUAUGAUUAUUCCAGAACUAAUUAUUUCUCAGUUCACCGGCUUUGUGUUGUGCCUUUACUGUUCAGGGCCAAAGCUAUUCGUCUCGUAGAACUCCCAUUUUUAUAUGGUCUGUUGCUAAGGGACGAGAUGUCUUUUUGUUGACAAAGAUUAGGCCAUUGCUACACGUUACUAAUUACGAGAUCACAAAAACGAGGCGAUGACGGGGCAACCAUGAAGCGACGGGUAAUGCGAAGACGGAGAGACGGGCGAUACUUGGGCGUUAGCUGAAAUGCCAUUCGGCAACAGGCUACUUUGCUGAGGCUUCAUUUGACUACUACCACGUAAAAUACUACAUCACGAAUGCUGCCUAGUACCACACUACCGCCUUGUACUACACCCAGCUCCGGAAUACUACCCCUAUAGAAGAUGGAAUACCAUAAUACAACCCGAGCGUUUCAUGGUAAAGCCAAAGAGAAUACCAGGAGUAGUUACAGCUGCAGAAUCAAUUGAAUUACCACGUGUUACGUUUCAGAGAUGGCGCUGCGGCUAUUAG
rnacentral:lncRNA from 1 species